UAGUUAAAAAAAAGAAAAUCGUUUCAAUUGAGUUUGUAAAAGUAUGUGUUUGAAAUGUAGUAGCCAUGAAGGAUGAGGAAUAUAAAAGCAAUGCACUCCAUCUUGCGUUCAAAGGUACGAUGUUCCAAAUACUCAAAUCUGCCAAAAUUAGUCAAGGAAGGAGGAAAUAAGGUUUGUAGUAAAUUCUGAAAUAAAUUCCAAAUUUAUCAGAGCUUAAUAUUCGCCAAUGUACAUACCUAUUAACAAAGAGAUCAAACACAUAUAGAGUCUAGUGAACAACAAAAUAGGAUACGGAGAGCAGUUCGCUUUUGGAUAUGUAAGAAUUUCGUUCAAUUUAAAAUACACUUACAUUUGCAAAUACACCGGCAAAGCAAGAAAAUAGGUAAAAGCAUCACAUUCAAAGGAACUACAGACCGAAUUGG